UCUCGCUUGGUGUUGAUGGAAAAGCAUGGUUCAUGGUUGUCUCUGGAAGCGCCUCUUCAGAGAAAUUGCACUGUUUUCUCUUAUUACGAAAUCGAAAUAUUAAUUUGCCACUCUUCAAACUCGUGCAGAACAAAAGCCGAAGGGCAGUCAACAGUGGAAAAGCUAUAUUUCAGAACUUGAUAAACAACAUGCUGAGUAGCUACGCCUGACACUCGAGAAUUUGAUACAGCCAAUACCGAUUCUGAUGGCAGUAUUGUUCAUGACUUUGCUGCUGGAAAGUCAUGAACAAGAAAAUAACAAUAAAAAUGCAUUGUGAAAAAUAUAGAGUACACUGAGUAGACAAAUGUUGGAUUAUUAUGAAAAGCUUA